rnacentral:rRNA from 1 species
CCUACGGGAGGCAGCAGUGGGGAAUAUUGGACAAUGGGGGCAACCCUGAUCCAGCAAUGCCGCGUGUGUGAAGAAGGCCUUCGGGUUGUAAAGCACUUUUAUCGGGAACGAAACAUUGUCGGUUAAUACCCGGCAAGACUGACGGUACCCGAGGAAUAAGCACCGGCUAACUCCGUGCCAGCAGCCGCGGUAAUACGGAGGGUGCAGCGUUAAUCGGAAUUACUGGGCGUAAAGCGUGCGCAGGCGGUUUGUUAAGUCUGUUGUGAAAUCCCCGAGCUCAACUUGGGAAUUGCAAUGGAUACUGGCAGGCUGGAGUAUGGUAGAGGAAGGUGGAAUUCCCGGUGUAGCAGUGAAAUGCGUAGAGAUCGGGAGGAACACCAGUGGCGAAGGCGGCCUUCUGGACCAAUACUGACGCUCAUGCACGAAAGCGUGGGGAGCAAACAGGAUUAGAUACCCUGGUAGUCCACGCCCUAAACGAUGCGAACUGGAUGUUGGGUACAUUACGGUACUCAGUGUCGAAGCUAACGCGUUAAGUUCGCCGCCUGGGGAGUACGGUCGCAAGACUGAAACUCAAAGGAAUUGACGG